UUGAAGCUCUGCUGGUUGGAAGCUGGAAGAUAUGUGGCAGGCUCUCCAGGCGAGAAGCAACAGAGAGCCUAGAGAGCCUAAACAGAAGCAAGGGGUUGGUGGGAACCGGAGGUUGUACGGAGGGACAGACCCUUGUGGGAAUCUGACUCCUCCUACUUACCAGUUACCACUUCCAGUCUGUGACCCCGUGCUGGUUAGGAAUUUCUAAGCCUCUUUGUCCUCUCUAUAAAAUAAAGCAGAGAAUGGCACCAACUUCAGAGAUCCCUGUGAGGAUUUAAUGUGAUAAUGCAUGUAAACUCUUAGUGCCUGCAUAGUAAGUGCUCAACAAACGUUAGUUACUAUUUUAGUCAGGUACUAUUAUUAUUUUUGAGUACCAUGGGAGGCACCGAAGCGGACCGAGACAGACCCCUCAUCCAGCAAAACAAAAUACCGUGGGCCUGUCACAAUGCUCUGCAAACACGGAAAAGCCACAGCUUAAUCUUGCCGGCGGCGAAGGCUUCGCAGAGAUGCACCUGGAGCCCUGAGUGAAAAGUAAACCGCAUUCUGAAAGGCAGUGGACUUAGACUGAAAACUGCAACUCAGUCGAAUGCAAACAGAGCGAAACUGGUCCUGACUGGGGCUCAGAGAAGAGUGAGCAAGAUGAUGACGGUGAAGAUGAUAAACAGAAGGAGAAGAAGAAGCUAUGAACUUAGUGGUUAACUUUUUCAGGUCUCCAAAUGCCAGGGAGCCAAAAGUGCCCUGUGAAAACAUCCUGCUUAAUUUAAGACUCAGAUGGAAUGGGAAUAACAAUCAUGCCAGGUUCCUCUUUGUAUUCAUUUACUCAGGACCUUCUCUUUACCAAGCACUUUGCACGUCUCAUUCACCGAGGUGUCUCGUUAAGUCCAUAGGCUCUAUAUGUGUCUAAUCAGUAAAACCAUUGUAAGGAGGAUUAGAUGAUACAAUGUUUUCAAGCACCUAGUGCUACAUCUGCAUCAAAAUAUCCUGUUUCCUGCCCCAUCCAUUAGCCCUUAUAUCAUUUAUUUGGCCUUUGUCCUAUGCUGCCCUGCAUUGUUACCUCUCAGUUUACAGUAUCUGUCUGGCCUUCUUAGCCAAAUUGUAGGAACUCUGGGAUCACAAGCAGUUCUCAUGAAGGUGGUUCUCAAAUUUUCAAAUUGGUAUUUUUUCAAUGUAUGAAACUGGAUACACUACACAUUGACACUCCGAAAAUGACAGUUCUGAGCUAAUUUCAGACUUCUACACAUCACCCAAUGAGCAAGAACUUGAACUCUCAAAUGGUGGUGUCUCUUGCCAGGAUGACGACCAUUUUUGUUUAUUCUCUUAUAUGCAUAGUUUAUUGCAUUUGUCCUUCUAAUUUUAUAACAAGUGCAAAACAGUGACAAAAAAAAAGUGAUAAAUAAGAUGGUGAGAUGAUAAAAAACAUCACCUAAAUGGCAGAUCUAUAUCCUCAACUGAAUGUUCAUUGAACUUCAACCUAUAUCUGCAUUCAACUUUGGAGGAUAAGAAUAAAAUGCAAGGUUAUCAUGAAACAUUGGGAUUCUCUUCUCAGGCUCUGCCAAAAUGGACAGAGUGGUGGUAGGAGACAUGAAGAAAUCUUUAGGUUAUGAAUUGUCAGUAUGUGUAAAAAUCAUUGCUAUGACUCAAAUGUCCAGAGGAGUUCAAGGCUGAGAGAACUAUUGCCGAGAGUAAAGCUCACACUGAUCCCUGGGAACACAGGCCAAAGUUCAAUUUCCUUUGACAUAAUUUUUUUAACAAAAAAAUAAUACAAUAAAAUCAUCAUCGUAAACUCAUACUCAAUCUCCUGCACAAGUGCAUUUGCAAAUCCUUUUUCACACAACGAAAUGAUUUUUUUUCUAUUUACAAGAUGCCGUUUUUAGAAACUCAG